UUCAGCUACAUUCCCCUAUGCCCAGAGGGUGACAGCUGAGCAACCAUUUCACAGACCAGCAAAAAUGCUUCCCUCUGUGUUUCUUGGAGCCACCAACACAUUUGUAUUGCAAAGGAAAGCCUUCUUGCUAGCAAACCAACUUAAAAAGCCCUCCUGAUUUGGACUGAUGCCAGCCUUGGCUUCACAGGAACAUAUAUUUUUAAAAAGCAACUUUUGGAGACAUUGUCUGUAUUUGUCCCUGCAAAGGGAAGGGGCAGGGAGUGCAACAGCUGGGGCAUUCUGGGGCUGCCAUGGAAGUUUCAGGCUAAAAAAGAAAGCACCUCUGUGAUCCUAGGAUCCUCUACAAAAAUCUUUUCAACCAAGAUUGUGCUGGAGGAGGAAACAGCACUGCCUUCCAAGGAAGUGUCUCCCAUCAGUGAGGAAACCUGCAAUGGAGAGCAGCUGCUUACCCAUCACUGCCACCUCUGCCCUCACCUGCCCCCACAGAAAUUGCUGCUUGUGUGUGAGACACAGGGGGAUGCAGAGCCCUUCUCCAUGCCCCAAGCACAUGCAUCUGCUUUUGCAUCCUUUUUAAACAGCCACGACAAGCAGAGACAAACAAAGAAAAUGAACUAAAAACAUGGGUUUCUAAGGCCUUAUUGGACAUGUUGCUGUCCAGUUCGAGGUGAAAACUUUGCUCAAGAAAAUAAGACUCAACAGAGACCGAAGCAUCUUUAAAACUACUCUGGACGAGACAAGUUUGUAAUACAGUUUAUUGCAUGCUCUCCCCUAACUGUAGAUUCAAGAGGCAACUCAGAUUUUCAGCAUCAUCUUUCAUUUGUGCUGAUUUCCAACAGGACUUGAUCCAGCUUCUUAAGUUGUUUUGGUUUGAUUUUCUUGUAACAUCACUACCUACAUCUAGGUGACUAAAUAAGCUACUUCUGUCAGAGCCUUGAUCUGCGGCACACUCUUGGAACUCAAGUAGCAAGAUGGCUAUAACAUUUAAUCGUGUCAUUAACUAAGCACACUCUUUUCAACAGUGUCUCUAACACGUGGCAGCCACCUUGAACUACAUACCUGAGAUCUGGCUGGCAGUUUAUUUCAUUUGUGUAACAAGUCUACAUAGAAAAUACCAACUGUUUUAUGCCUUUGACAGCUGUAAAACAGACUUAGGCAAGUCACUCAAUGAAACAAUAUCAAGAUAUAAUUUGCAGCGGUCUUGUAAUUGAGUUGGCAAUUUGGUUAUUACCAGAGGCUUUUUUACCUCUGAAAAGCUUUUAGUAUAGAAUAAACAACCAACAUUCAAAAAAACCCUUCACCAAAACAAUUCCGUAAGAACUCCUUAGAAAUGAGUAAACAGCACCCACUAAAAAAAGAGGGCCACAUGAAUGAAGACACUAGUACUCCCAAAGGGAAAUACUGAUAAUGGAAGAUGCAACAGCUAACCCUUAAUAACCUCAGCCUUUGUGGAUCAAGCAACCUGUUUUGAGUCUGCAUAACACAAGUAGUUCAGCAAAGCAUCAAUUUCAGAGACUAAUAGUAAUUAUUUGACUUUUAAAGUCUUCUACAGCACUUGAUCCCUUGAGCAGUUAAAUGCAGAAACCAAUAACCUGGCAUUGAAUUUCUGCACUCUCUAUUUGUAGAACAUUCUCUUAAAAUGCAGGCUAUAUUGAAAAAUCAUCAGUUUCUCUGACUCCACUGUUUCUAUUUUAUAGCAAUUCAGUACAUGCCUGUCUGUGUCAGGCUUCUAUACAAGACUUAUUCAUCAAGACUGGCUUAAUUUAUUACUGAAAACCAAUCCUGAGUUACAGGUUUACCUAUAAACAAAAAAAAAAAAAUCAAGUAGUCUAAAGUCACUACAUUAAUUCAUAGCCUACAGCUGUCAUGGUAUAGAACUGCUCUCUAACUUGUGUUGGAAUUAAGACUCCUGUGGACAUUUGGAGGGUUACUACAAAGCAGGAGGUACCCUGGUCUCUGUUCCUCAAGCUCAGCGAUUCAAAGGGCAUGUGAUGGGCUGAUACAGCUGCACCACUUAUUGACCAGAGCACAUCAAGAGGAUGUGCUAUCCUUUAGAGGAUACACAAGUUUUGAAUAAAUGCCUUCCAAGAGAAGAUUGUUGCAAACUGAAUAUACCUUGAACACCUGGUCUAGAGGGAUACAGAAGUAUUUUUUAUAAAAAGAUGACCAGGGAGCAAAUGGCAUUAUAUUAAUUCACUCCAACUACAACCAUUUCAGAAGAGAUAGACAUUAUCUUAUUACGGUUUUUAUUUAGAGAAAAGGAAAGUUAGGCUGUCCAAUAGGAGUAAGACAUCAAAUGCCAAUGAGAUUUAAAUGCAAACUAGCUGACCCCCUUUCUUGUGUUCACCCACCAAAAAGCCCCAAGCCCACCAGCCAACUUCCCCAUAAGAGAUGACUUCCUUUAUUUCUUUAGUUACUGAGAAAAACUGAGUGGCAGUGACAGCUUAAUGCAGAGGAGGAAGUAGUGAUAAUUUUAAAAGUCAGUCAUGGCUUUUUUGACAAGUCAUUAGCCUAAGAUCAUGAGCCAUUAUUUCCUGACACUGUGACUAUCACUGACAGUCACAAGGGUAUGGAAAACACUGCUCAAAAAACCCUCACUGUAAAACAAUCCAUUUUGUUAUUGAAAUGUUUGUAUGUGGGAGCAUAUCACACCCAUAAUCCUUCCUAUCACAGAGAACUAAACAUUUGAGUAUCAGUAACAUCCUGCCCCGACCCUGUCUUCUGUCUGUGUUACUUGGAGUCCUCAAGUGUCCAGGAGCUCUUACCUUCACGCCAUGGCCAACAUCAUCCAGCACCGUGUAGUCUAUAGGUUUUCGAAUAUACCUUACAGGACGUUCCA